AACGAACGCUGGCGGCGCGCCUAAUACAUGCAAGUCGAGCGAGAAGACGUAGCAAUACGUUUGUAAAGCGGCGAACGGGUGAGGAAUACAUGGGUAACCUACCCUCGAGUGGGGAAUAACUAGCCGAAAGGUUAGCUAAUACCGCGUACGCUCCUUGGACUUCGGUUCAGGGAGGAAAGCGAUACCGUGGGUAUCGCGCUCUUGGAUGGGCUCAUGUCCUAUCAGCUUGCUGGNGAGGUAACGGCUCACCAAGGCUUCGACGGGUAGCUGGUCUGAGAGGACGAUCAGCCACACUGGCACUGCGACACGGGCCAGACUCCUACGGGAGGCAGCAGUAAGGAAUAUUGCGCAAUGGGCGAAAGCCUGACGCAGCGACGCCGCGUGGGGGAGUGAAGGUCUUCGGAUUGUAAACCCCUUUUCGGGAGGGAAGAUGGAAUGGGGUAACCCAUUCGGACGGUACCUCCAGAAGCAGCCACGGCUAACUUCGUGCCAGCAGCCGCCGUAA
rnacentral:rRNA from 1 species